rnacentral:rRNA from 1 species
AUGAACGCUGACAGAAUGCUUAACACAUGCCAGUCAACUUGAAUUUGGGUUUUUAACUUAGGUUUGGGUGGCGGACGGGUGAGUAACGCGUAAAGAACUUGCCUCACAGCUAGGGACAACAUUUGGAAACGAAUGCUAAUACCUAAUAUUAUGAUAAUAGGGCAUCCUAUAAUUAUGAAAGCUAUAAGCGCUGUGAGAGAGCUUUGCGUCCCAUUAGCUAGUUGGAGAGGUAACGGCUCACCAAGGCGAUGAUGGGUAGCCGGCCUGAGAGGGUGAUCGGCCACAAGGGGACUGAGACACGGCCCUUACUCCUACGGGAGGCAGCAGUGGGGAAUAUUGGACAAUGGACCGAGAGUCCGAUCCAGCAAUUCUGUGUGCACGAUGAAGUUUUUCGGAAUGUAAAGUGCUUUCAGUUGGGAAGAAACAAAUGACGGUACCAACAGAAGAAGUGACGGCUAAAUACGUG